UCCGUGCCANCCNCCGCGGUAAUACGGACGAUGCACCCCUUAUCCGGAUAUAUUGCGCGUAAAGCGUCCGUUUGUUGCUUUCCAAGUCUGUUGUUAAAUGCCCAUGAGCUUAACUCUAUUUCGGCCAUUGAAACUGGUUAACUUGANUGCGAUAGGUGCAAGGGGAAUUCCCAGUGNAGGGGUGAAAUGCUUCCAUGUUGGGAAGAACCUCCGUGGCGAAAGCCCCUUGCUGGGUCUGCACUGACACUGAAGGACUAAAGCUNGGGGANCGAAAGGGAUUAGAUACCCCUGUAGUCCUGAUCNUAAACGAUGGAUACUAAGCNUUGUCCGUAUCUACCCGGGCAGUGCCUUANCUAA
rnacentral:rRNA from 1 species